GACGAACGCUGGCGGCGUGCCUAAUACAUGCAAGUCGAGCGGACCGAACAGGAGCUUGCUCUUGUUCGGUUAGCGGCGGACGGGUGAGUAACACGUGGGUAACCUGCCCGUAAGACCGGGAUAACUCCGGGAAACCGGAGCUAAUACCGGAUAACACCGAAGACAGCAUGGUCUUUGGUUGAAAGGCGGCUUCGGCUGCCACUUACGGAUGGGCCCGCGGCGCAUUAGCUAGUUGGCGAGGUAACGGCUCACCAAGGCGACGAUGCGUAGCCGGCCUGAGAGGGUGACCGGCCACCCUGGGACUGAGACACGGCCCAGGCUCCUACGGGAGGCAGCAGGAGGGAAUCUUCCGCAAUGGACGAAAGUCUGACGGAGCGACGCCGCGGGGGCGAAGAAGGUCUUCGGAUCGGAAAGCUCUGUUGUUAGGGAAGAAGAAGCGUCGUGCGAACAGGGCGGCGCGGUGACGGUACCUAACGAGAAAGCCCCGGCUAACUACGUG
rnacentral:rRNA from 1 species